rnacentral:snoRNA from 2 species
AAGACUACACUUCUCGGUGUUAUUUCCGUAGUUCAUUACUUAGAGGAGUUUCCCCAAGUGUGUAGAGCACUGGAAACCACAGGUAGAGACACAAUGUUCUCUCCUAAUCUCGAAGCUGGUUCCUGCUGUUGUUUCGCUACAACAGCCAUUUGCGAUUGAUGAUUGUUUUUUAAUUCCUUUGGUGAGAGGAAGAGGAAGAGGACACAGUCUGAAUGAU